rnacentral:rRNA from 1 species
AGAGUUUGAUCAUGGCUCAGAAUCAACGCUGGCGGCGCGCCUAACACAUGCAAGUCGAACGAGAAAGGGGAGCAAUCCCUGAGUAAAGUGGCGUACGGGUGAGUAACACGUGGAUCAUCUACCUCUUAGUGUGGAAUAACUUUGGGAAACCGAAGCUAAUACCGCAUAAGCCUGAGAAGGGAAAGCAGCAAUGCGCUGAGAGAGGAGUCCGCGGCCGAUUAGCUAGUUGGCGGGGUAAUGGCCCACCAAGGCAAAGAUCGGUAGCCGGCCUGAGAGGGCACACGGCCACACUGGCACUGAAACACGGGCCAGACUCCUACGGGAGGCAGCAGUGGGGAAUCUUGCACAAUGGGGGAAACCCUGAUGCAGCGACGCCGCGUGAGCGAUGAAGCCCUUCGGGGUGUAAAGCUCUUUCGGCAGGGAAGAUUAUGACGGUACCUGCAGAAGCAG